rnacentral:lncRNA from 1 species
UGGCUACAACAUCAAACAACCAGAAUUUAAGAAUUAUUACAGAACAGAAUAAAGUGAGGGUCUGAAGAAUUAUCCAUAAAGCAUGAUCCUUUCUAGGAGAUUAGAAAGAAUCCUGAUUUCUUGCUUCUUAUCAACAAUGUAGAACUUUCUUCUGGUUCUUUCCUUGUACAAGAGAACGCUGGGCUUUAACUGAACACAUAGCUACCCAACUAAAGCAUCUUUUGCAGCUAGAAAUGGCCAUGUGAUCAAGUUUGGAGGAACUAGAGGGGUUGGCAAGUGAUGAGUGUGACUUUGGACCACCUCCUUGAAGAUGCAGCUGCUUCCCAGGACUUCUUUCCCACUUCCCACAGGCUGGAGAGUGGGCACCCAGGCUUUAGUCACAACCACCAAGAUGACCCUGUGGGGAGGUGACAGGGAGAGAAGAUGGACCUCUUGGAGAGGAGCAGCCACUUCUCCAGCUAUGGACUGCUGACAUAAGUACUAUUUAGAGAGAGGAAAAUAAACUAUCCCGUGUAAGUCAGCCCAUAUUUGAGUGUCUUUGUAUAAUAGUUUAGCCUGUAUUCUAAUUAGUACAAAUAAUUAUUAUUGUGUCCUCUUUAUUCAUUCAACAUAUAUAUAAAUAUUAACAGAGCUUAGAUUUCAGUAAUAUGUCGACAUGAAAUAAAGUAAAUAAAAAAUUGCAACUUGGUUAUGAACUCUGAGGGGGAUGAAUGUGG